rnacentral:rRNA from 1 species
CAUUAAAGAGUUGCAAAACUCCCAAACCAUUGUGAACAUACCUUCAACGUUGCUUCGGCGGGUUGGCCCCGGUCUCCGGGGUCCCCGGCCCUAACGGGCGCCCGCCGGAGGUACCUAACUCUUGAACUUUUAUGGCCUCUCUGAGUCUUUGUACUUAAUAAGUCAAAACUUUCAACAACGGAUCUCUUGGUUCUGGCAUCGAUGAAGAACGCAGCGAAAUGCGAUAAGUAAUGUGAAUUGCAGAAUUCAGUGAAUCAUCGAAUCUUUGAACGCACAUUGCGCCCGCCAGUAUUCUGGCGGGCAUGCCUGUUCGAGCGUCAUUUCAACCAUCAAGCCCCCGGCUUGUGUUGGGGACCUGCGGCUGCCGCAGGCCCUGAAAACCAGUGGCGGGCUCGCUAGUCACUCCGAGCGUAGUAAUACAUCUCGCUCAGGGCGUGCUGCGGGUUCCGGCCGUUAAAAGCCUUAUUUACCCAAGGUUGACCUCGGAUCAGGUAGGAAGACCCGCUGAACUUAAGCAUAUCAAUAAGCGGAGGAAAAGAAACCAACAGGGAUUGCCCUAGUAACGGCGAGUGAAGCGGCAACAGCUCAAAUUUGAAAUCUGGCUUCGGCCCGAGUUGUAAUUUGUA